rnacentral:tRNA from 1 species
GGGCCUAUAACUCAGUUGGUAGAGUGCAACUCUUACAAAGUUGAGGUCGUUGGUUCGAGUCCGACUGGGCCCA